AGAGUUUGAUCCUGGCUCAGGACGAACGCUGGCGGCGUGCCUAAUACAUGCAAGUAGAACGCUGACUACUUUAGCUUGCUAGAGUAGAAGGAGUUGCGAACGGGUGAGUAACGCGUAGGUAACCUGCCUACUAGCGGGGGAUAACUAUUGGAAACGAUAGCUAAUACCGCAUAACAGUGUUUAACACAUGUUAGAUGCUUGAAAGAUGCAAAUGCAUCACUAGUAGAUGGACCUGCGUUGUAUUAGCUAGUUGGUGGGGUAACGGCCUACCAAGGCGACGAUACAUAGCCGACCUGAGAGGGUGAUCGGCCACACUGGGACUGAGACACGGCCCAGACUCUACGGGAGGCAGCAGUAGGGAAUCUUCGGCAAUGGGGGCAACCCUGACCGAGCAACGCCGCGUGAGUGAAGAAGGUUUUCGGAUCGUAAAGCUCUGUUGUAAGAGAAGAACGUGUGUGAGAGUGGAAAGUUCACACAGUGACGGUAACUUACCAGAAAGGGACGGCUAAU
rnacentral:rRNA from 1 species